UGACAGUACUCCUACGGGGAGGCAGCAGUCGGGGGAAUAUUGCACAAUGGGCGCAAGCCUGAUGCAGCCAUGCCGCGUGUGUGAAGAAGGCCUUCGGGUUGUAAAGCACUUUCAGUCGUGAGGAAGGUAGUGUAGUUAAUAGCUGCAUUAUUUGACGUUAGCGACAGAAGAAGCACCGGCUAACUCCGUGCCAGCAGCCGCGGUAAUACGGAGGGUGCGAGCGUUAAUCGGAAUUACUGGGCGUAAAGCGCAUGCAGGUGGUUUGUUAAGUCAGAUGUGAAAGACCCGGGGCUCAACCUCGGAAUAGCAUUUGAAACUGGCAGACUAGAGUACUGUAGAGGGGGGUAGGAAUUUCAGGUGUAGCGGUGAAAUGCGUAGAGAUCUGAAGGAAUACCGGUGGCGAAGGCGGCCCCCUCGGACAGAUACUGACACUCAGAUGCGAAAGCGUGGGGAGCAAACAGGAUUAGAUACCCUGGUAG
rnacentral:rRNA from 1 species